rnacentral:rRNA from 1 species
ACGUAGGGUGCAAGCGUUAAUCGGAAUUACUGGGCGUAGAGCGUGCGCAGGCGGUUAUAUAAGUCAGAUGUGAAAUCCCCGGGCUCAACCUGGGAACUGCAUUUGAGACUGUAUAGCUAGAGUACGGUAGAGGGGGAUGGAAUUCCGCGUGUAGCAGUGAAAUGCGUAGAUAUGCGGAGGAACACCGAUGGCGAAGGCAAUCCCCUGGACCUGUACUGACGCUCAUGCACGAAAGCGUGGGGAGCAAACAGGAUUAGAUACCCUGGUAGUCCACGCCCUAAACGAUGUCAACUGGUUGUUGGGUCUUAACUGACUCAGUAACGAAGCUAACGCGUGAAGUUGACCGCCUGGGGAGUACGGCCGCAAGGUUG